UACGUAGGGUGCGAGCGUUGUCCGGAAUUACUGGGCGUAAAGAGCUCGUAGGUGGUUUGUCGCGUUGUUCGUGAAAACUCACAACUCAAUUGUGGGCGUGCGGGCGAUACGGGCAGACUGGAGUACUGCAGGGGAGACCGGAAUUCCUGGUGUAGCGGUGGAAUGCGCAGAUAUCAGGAGGAACACCGGUGGCGAAGGCGGGUCUCUGGGCAGUAACUGACGCUGAGGAGCGAAAGCGUGGGGAGCGAACAGG
rnacentral:rRNA from 1 species